GAUGAACGCUGGCGGCGUGCCUAAUACAUGCAAGUCGAGCGAACAGACGAGGAGCUUGCUCCUCUGACGUUAGCGGCGGACGGGUGAGUAACACGUGGAUAACCUACCUAUAAGACUGGGAUAACUUCGGGAAACCGGAGCUAAUACCGGAUAAUAUAUUGAACCGCAUGGUUCAAUAGUGAAAGACGGUUUUGCUGUCACUUAUAGAUGGAUCCGCGCCGCAUUAGCUAGUUGGUAAGGUAACGGCUUACCAAGGCGACGAUGCGUAGCCGACCUGAGAGGGUGAUCGGCCACACUGGAACUGAGACACGGUCCAGACCCCUAGGGGGGGCAGCAGGAGGGAAUCUUCCGAAAGGGGCGAAAGCCUGACGGGGCAACGCCGCGGGAGUGAAGAAGGUCUUCGGAGCGUAAAACUCUUUUUUUAGGGAAAAACAAAUGUGUAAGUAACUAUGCACGUUUUGACGGUACCUAAGCAGAAAGCCACGGCUAACUACGU
rnacentral:rRNA from 1 species